GACGUAGGGAGCCAGCGUUGUUCGGAAUUACUGGGUGUAAAGGGUUCGUAGGCGGUGUGGCAAGUCGGGAGUGAAAUCUCUGGGCUCAACUCAGAGACUGCUUCCGAAACUGCUGUGCUGGAGUGUGGGAGAGGCGCGUGGAAUUGCAGGUGUAGCGGUGAAAUGCGCAGAUAUCAGGAGGAACACCGGUGGCGAAGGCGGGUCUCUGGGCAACAACUGACGCUGAGGAGCGAAAGCGUGGGGAGCGAACAGG
rnacentral:rRNA from 1 species